UUUCCCCCAAUUUCGAAAUUAAGCUUGGGAAGGGAAACACAUACACUUGCUUUGAAUUUUCUUAAUAAAAUAUUCAUGCAUGUCUUCAAAACUCAAGAAUCUUGUAAAAAGGGGAUUGGGUAGUAACUAUGAGUUUAAAUUUCUAAAACCUAAGUAUUGUUCAUGAACUAGAUUGACUUCUUGAUUGCACGGCAAAUUUGGACUAGAGGUUUAAGGGGAAAAACUCAACUCCAGGUAUGGAUGGCUAACUGUGCUCCUUGUGAAAUCGCCCUAUGCUAGUUGUGAAAUUGUUGAUAGUAGAUAUUCAUGUGAAAAUUAUUGUGAGGCUUUUGUGUUGUAUGAUUGUGUGGUAAUACUUUGUGAUGAAUGUUGUGGAACUUGUAAUUGGAACAACAAAAAUGGAAAGUAAUGUGGAACAAUGGAAAUGGAACAAUGUGGAACAAUGGAAAUGAGAAAUGGAAGUAAUGUGAAAUAACGGAAAUGGAACAAUGUGGAACAAUGGAAAUGGAACAACGCGGAACAAUGGAAAUGGGGAAAAUGUGGAAUAGUGGAAAUGGAAGUAUUAUGAAAUAACGUGUGUGAUUAGUUGUGGAUAAUUGUGGUGAUGAUCAAAAUUGUCUACCAAUAUGAUGAACCUGAGGAAUUGUUGUUGCUAGCUGUGGAAUUGCAUUACCCUUGUUGUGGAUCUAUGUUAAUAAUGUCCCAUAGUUGAUUUCUUGAAUUUGUUGUUGUGCUGUUUGUUGUUGUGAAUUGAAAAUUGUCAGGCGGGGUCGG
rnacentral:lncRNA from 1 species